CGUUCGUCAAGUCGCAUUUUUAAUGCGCAACUACGGUUUCCGUUUUCAUUUCCGCAAAGCAUGAGAGGAAACGCCGAAAGCAACAUGAUGAACAUUUUGCUUUGAGCAAAGCGGAGGAAAUAUGAAGCACUGUACCGGAUAAAGUGUUGAAAACAGAAGUAAAUGUUUAAGAAAUGGGACAUUUUUUCUUACGUCAUCCUACAAAAAUAGAUGCUUUGUUCUGUGAAAAGUCCUCUUUGACAUAUACAGUAUAUUGAAAUAUCCGACAAUGUCAUAUAAUUACCAGUUAAUAAUCCGAAAGUGUAUAAUUUAAUGUGCAAUACGAGUUGUGUUCUGUGUGUGUUCAUAAAUAUGCUAUAAACCCCAAUUUGUAUAUCAAUAAAAUAAAUUGUGUGCACUGAAAAAUUGUGAUCGAAUAUAGAGUAAAAAUGUACGGUGUA